rnacentral:misc_RNA from 1 species
UUAGGCAGCGAAGGCAUGUCAUACACACCUUUUCAGUUGUUGGCUCAAGUGUCUCUUUGCCUUGACCUCCUUGCAUUUCUUGUUUNGUGUACCUCUAAUAAGGUAGUUGGUAGGCCCGAAUGUUCCUCAUUCUUACAUGCACUGAAACCCUAUGCGGUUGUAGUGCGAGUAAGACCAUGAAGCUUCCAUUGUGUUCCACAUCUCGCUUGCCUUCUUGUGUAAUGAGUUGUUGGCACAUUAUGUAUUGCUUGAUCACUUGGAUGCGGAAAGUGGAGUGGUAUGAGGCAUCUUUGCCUCUAUUUGCCCUAAAAUUAAGCGUUCGUCGCUUCUUGCGGAUGACUGUUGUAUUUGUUUUGGUUUUAGCCAUUANUGGNUUUAAUCUUGCNCUAACAACGUCAAU